GCUUAGAACUGGGUUAAUAAGAAUUUUGAAAAUUUUUAGUAAGCAUUUCGAGGAUGCUUAUAAGCU
rnacentral:tRNA from 1 species